GAAACAUUUGAAGUGACUUAGUGGCGGACGGGUGAGUAACGCGUGGGUAACCUGCCCUGUACUGGGGGACAACAGUUGGAAACGGCUGCUAAUACCGCAUAAGCGCACAGCAUCGCAUGGUGCAGUGUGAAAAACUCCGGUGGUACAGGAUGGACCCGCGUCUGAUUAGCUAGUUGGUGGGGUAACGGCCUACCAAGGCGACGAUCAGUAGCCGGCCUGAGAGGGUGAACGGCCACAUUGGGACUGAGACACGGCCCAGACUCCUACGGGAGGCAGCAGUGGGGAAUAUUGCACAAUGGGCGCAAGCCUGAUGCAGCGACGCCGCGUGAGUGAUGAAGUAUUUCGGUAUGUAAAGCUCUAUCAGCAGGGAAGAAAAUGACGGUACCUGACUAAGAAGCACCGGCUAAAUACGUGCCAGCAGCCGCGGUAAUACGUAUGGUGCAAGCGUUAUCCGGAUUUACUGGGUGUAAAGGGAGCGUAGGCGGCAUGGCAAGUCAGAUGUGAAAGCCCGGGGCCCAACCCCGGAACUGCAUUUGAAACUG
rnacentral:rRNA from 1 species